UACGGAGGGUGCGAGCGUUGUCCGGAAUCACUGGGCGUAAAGGGCGCGUAGGCGGCCUGGUAAGUAGGGGGUGAAAUCCUGCGGCUUAACCGCAGGGCUGCCUUCUAAACUGUCAGGCUCGAGCACGGUAGAGGCAGAUGGAAUUCCCAGUGUAGCGGUGAAAUGCGUAGAUAUUGGGAGGAACACCAGUGGCGAAGGCGGCUCACUGGACCGGUACUGACGCUGAGGCGCGAAAGCGUGGGGAGCAAACAGG
rnacentral:rRNA from 1 species